rnacentral:rRNA from 1 species
UACGUAGGGUGCGAGCGUUGUCCGGAAUUAUUGGGCGUAAAGGGCUCGUAGGCGGUUUGUCACGUCGGGAGUGAAAACUCAGGGCUUAACCCUGAGCCUGCUUCCGAUACGGGCAGACUAGAGGUAUGCAGGGGAGAACGGAAUUCCUGGUGUAGCGGUGAAAUGCGUAGAUAUCUGGAGGAACACCGGUGGCGAAGGCGGCAUCCUGGACCGGUAUUGACGCUGAGGCGCGAAAGCCAGGGGAGCAAACGGG